rnacentral:tRNA from 1 species
GGAGAGGUGCUCGAGUGGUUGAAGAGGCACGCCUGGAAAGCGUGUAUACCCCUAAAGGGAAUCGGGGGUUCGAAUCCCGUCUCUCCG